rnacentral:rRNA from 1 species
AACGUAGGACGCAAGCGUUAUCCGGAGUUACUGGGCGUAAAGCGCGGGCAGGCGGCUCGAAACGUCUGAUGUGAAAUCUCCUCGCUCAACGGGGAGAGGCCAUUGGAAACGGUCGAGCUGGAGGGCAGUAGAGGUAGGCGGAAUUCCUGGUGUAGCGGUGAAAUGCGCAGAUAUCAGGAGGAACACCAAUGGCGAAGGCAGCUCGCUGGGACGGUACUGACGCUGAGACGCGAAAGCGUGGGGAGCGAACAGG